rnacentral:rRNA from 1 species
ACGGCGAGUGAAGCGGGAUGAGCUCAAAUUUAAAAUCUGGCUGGUUUACUAGUCCGAAUUGUAGUUUAUAGAAGCGUUUUCGGUGGCAGCCUGGGUAUAAAUCCUUUGGAAUAGGGUAUCAUAGAGGGUGAGAAUCCCGUCUUUGACUCAGUGCAUGCUACUAUGUGAUACGUUUUCAAAGAGUCGAGUUGUUUGGGAAUGCAGCUCAAAAUGGGUGGUAAAUUCCAUCUAAAGCUAAAUAUUGGCGAGAGACCGAUAGCGAACAAGUACCGUGAGGGAAAGAUGAAAAGCACUUUGGAAAGAGAGUUAAACAGUACGUGAAAUUGUUAAAAGGGAAACGAUUGAAGUCAGUCGUGUUUAUUGGAUUCAGCCGGUCUUCGGUGUACUUCCUUUAAACGGGUCAACAUCAGUUUUGUUCGGUGGAUAAAGGUAUUAGGAAUGUGGCUUCUUCGGAAGUGUUAUAGCCUAGUAUUGCAUACACUGGAGGAGACUGAGGACUGCGGCUCGCCUUUAUGGCCGGGGUUCGCCCACGUUCGAGCUUAG